UUUCAUGUAAACAAUUCUUAUAUAAAUUCUGCUCUCCACCCAACACAAAACACUCACAUCCUGCGGCCUUUCCUAAAUUACCCUUGCUUUAGUUAACUCACGCCGCGUGAGUUAACUACCACACCUUUUAAAUUUUGUUCUGCUUAAAACAUAAACUUGCACACUUUCUUGAACAACUUUCCUUGUUGAUCUAACCACCACUUUCUUAGCACUCUUUGGAGCCAUUCACUGUCCCUUUUAACUCACCUGACAAGUCCACAAACGGAAGGAAAUAAAUAAUUUGACAACAAUUAAUGUAGUAUUUAACUUUUAUAAACAAAACCAACCCAAGAGCUGAUGAAUCAAGUAUAUACGUGGGCUAUAAUGAUGCUUGUUGUUUUAAAUGCGUGGAAUACCAUUUUAUGAUGUUUUUGCAUGGAAUACUAUUUUUACUGGGCGUGAGUUAACUCACGCAGUGUUUUACACUUGCGUGUCUUAAGUCAUGCCGCUUCACGUAACUAACGCACAAAUUUACACUUACGCUAGUUACCUAACACAAGGGUAAUUUGGGCAAGGCUGCAGGGCACAAGUGUUUUGUGCUACGUGGAGAGCAGAAUUCUUAUUCUUAUUAUAUACAAGCAGCGUGAAAUAUAAGUUAGUUGUUGCGCAUUGUCCCAGCAGUACAAAUGUUUCUUUUUAUUCCCAUGUCCCU
rnacentral:lncRNA from 1 species